GACGAACGCUGGCGGCGUGCCUAAUACAUGCAAGUAGAACGCUGAAGGAGGAGCUUGCUUCUCUGGAUGAGUUGCGAACGGGUGAGUAACGCGUAGGUAACCUGCCUGGUAGCGGGGGAUAACUAUUGGAAACGAUAGCUAAUACCGCAUAAGAGUAGAUGUUGCAUGACAUUUGCUUAAAAGGUGCAAUUGCAUCACUACCAGAUGGACCUGCGUUGUAUUAGCUAGUUGGUGAGGUAACGGCUCACCAAGGCAACGAUACAUAGCCGACCUGAGAGGGGGAUCGGCCACACUGGGACUGAGACACGGCCCAGACUCCUACGGGAGGCAGCAGUAGGGAAUCUUCGGCAAUGGACGGAAGUCUGACCGAGCAACGCCGCGUGAGUGAAGAAGGUUUUCGGAUCGUAAAGCUCUGUUGUAAGGGAAGAACGAGGGUGAGAGUGGAAAGUUCACACUGUGACGGUAUCUUACCAGAAAGGGACGGCUAACUACGUG
rnacentral:rRNA from 1 species